rnacentral:lncRNA from 1 species
ACAUCUCUUGGAGUUCUAGCUCACCUUUCUUGUAUUGUUCUUGUACUCAUCUGUUUAAUCUAGUUCUGCCACUUCUUCUUGAACUUCUUAUUAGAUUUCAAGUUUGUAUUUUGUGUCCGUGAGCGUUUGUCGAGACUACACUAACUUGAGAUAUCAGAGCUAGUUCUUUCUUAGUAGAGUGUGGAUUACCCCUCUACUUGAAGGUAUACUAGCAUAUUUAAGAGGUUGCGGAUUACCUUCCUCUAAACUGAUACUUCUUCUGUUACAAUAUUGGAGUCUUAUUCUUCUUGGAGAGAGUGGAUUACCCCUCUUCUUGAAAUUCUUAAGGCAUUUUAUAGGUUGUGGAUUACCUUCCUAUAAACCAAUAUUGCCUCUUAUACGGUCAUUUUUGUCCUUCUUUUAGAAUGGCG